rnacentral:rRNA from 1 species
AGAGUUUGAUCAUGGCUCAGAUUGAACGCUGGCGGUAUGCUUAACACAUGCAAGUCGAACGGCAGCAGCAUCUAUGCUUGCAUAGAUGGCUGGCGAGUGGCGGACGGGUGAGUAAUACGUAGGAAUCUGCCCUAAAGAGGGGGAUAACUCGAGGAAACUCGAGCUAAUACCGCAUGAUCUCUAUGGAGCAAAGCUGGGGACCUUUCGGGGCCUGGCGCUUUAGGAUGAGCCUACGUCGGAUUAGCUAGUUGGUAGGGUAAUGGCCUACCAAGGCGACGAUCCGUAGCUGGUCUGAGAGGAUGAUCAGCCACACUGGGACUGAGACACGGCCCAGACUCCUACGGGAGGCAGCAGUGGGGAAUAUUGGACAAUGGGGGAAACCCUGAUCCAGCAAUACCGCGUGUGUGAAGAAGGCCUGCGGGUUGUAAAGCACUUUCGGUAGGGAAGAAAUGCCAAAUGUGAAUAGCAUUUGGAGUUGACGUUACUUACAGAAGAAGCACCGGCUAACUCUGUGCCAGCAGCCGCGGUA